rnacentral:rRNA from 17 species
CGAUUGACAACAGGUUGAUAUUCCUGUACCACUACCAUCGUUAUUAUCGAGGGUGUGACGGAGAAGGAUAGUGUGUGCUAGCGAUUGGAAAUGCUAGUCUAAGCGUUUAGGCAGUUACGGUAGGCAAAUCCGCUGUAACGUUAAUGCUGAGGCGUGAUGGGGAAGGCCCUUGAGGCUGAAGUACAUGAUUCCAUGCUUCCAAGAAAAGCAUCUAGAGAGAGAAGUAGUGCCCGUACCGCAAACCGACACA